GGAGGGGGCAAGCGUUGUCCGGAAUCACUGGGCGUAAAGAGCACGUAGGUGGCCUGUUGCGUCGGUGCUGAAAGCGCCGGGCUUAACCCGGCGAGGUGUGCCGAUACGAGCAGGCUCGAGGCAGGGAGAGGGUGGCGGAAUUCCGGGUGUAGUGGUGAAAUGCGUAGAGAUCCGGAGGAACGCCAGUGACGAAGGUGGCCACCUGGCCCUGACCUGACACUGAGGUGCGAUAGCGUGGGGAGCGAACCGGAUUAGAUACCCGGGUAGUCCACGCCGUAAACGAUGCCGGCUCGUUCUGUGCCCUGCGUUAAGCAGGGUGCGGGGCUAAGCUCACGCGGUAAGCCGGCCGCCUGGGGAGUACGAGCGCAAGCUUAAA
rnacentral:rRNA from 1 species